rnacentral:lncRNA from 1 species
GCCCUUUCCAUCCUUCCCACGGAGUCGAACUCCAGCCAGAGGAAGGUAUGAGACCGAUAAAGGAGAAGGCUGACACCAGAAAAAGAAAGUUGGCCCUUCUACCCCUCAUUCGUUCAUUCAUUCGCUCAUUCCGCAUUAGACACCAGAGCCGGUGCCAGGAGUUUAGGCUACCAAGAUGAACAAGAUCCGGUGUCUAUCCCCGGGUGUCGUAAAGAAACAAGUAAAAGACGCGGUUCCUGAGCGGGGGAGGGGCCUUUGGGCGAAGGAGGCGCGUCGUUUU